rnacentral:rRNA from 1 species
GACGAACGCUGGCGGCGUGCUUAACACAUGCAAGUCGAACGGAAAGGCCUGCUUUCCCUUGUGUUUUGCGGGUACUCGAGUGGCGAACGGGGGAGUAACACGGGAGUGAUCUUUCCCCAACUUGGAUAUAAGCCUGGGAUACUGUGUCUAAUCCCCGAUAGGACUGCAGGGUGGUGCCUGUGUUGGAACACUACGUUCUAGUGGGUGGGGAUGAGCUGGCGGCCUAUCAGCUUGGUGGUGGGGUAAUGGGCCACCAAGGCGUCGACGGGUAGCCAGGCGGAGAGGGGGGACAGCGAAAUUGGGACUGGGACACGGCCCAGACGGCUACGGGAGGCAGCGGUGGGGAGUAUUGGGCAAUGGGCGGAAGCCUGAUGCAGCGAGGCCGCGUGGGGGAUGACGGCCUUCGGGUUGUAAACUGCUUUCGACCGAGAGGAAGCCACCUGGUUGGAAGGGUGGUGACGGUAGUGGUAGAAGAAGCACCGGCUAACUACGUG